GUUUUUGUAGUUGAAGUACAACGAUGGUUUUUCAUGCCAUUGGUCUUGGUUUAAGUCCAUGUAAGAACU
rnacentral:tRNA from 1 species